CCUACGGGUGGCAGCAGUGGGGGAUAUUGCACAAUGGGGGAAACCCUGAUGCAGCGACGCCGCGUGGGUGAAGAAGCGCUUCGGCGCGUAAAGCCCUGUCAGCAGGGAAGAAAAUGACGGUACCUGAAGAAGAAGCCCCGGCUAACUACGUGCCAGCAGCCGCGGUAAUACGUAGGGGGCAAGCGUUAUCCGGAUUUACUGGGUGUAAAGGGGGCGCAGACGGCGAUGCAAGCCAGGAGUGAAAGCCCGGGGCCCAACCCCGGGACUGCUCUUGAAACUGCGUGGCUAGAGUGCAGGAGAGGCAAGCGGAAUGCCUGGGGUAGCGGUGAAAUGCGUAGAUAUCAGGAGGAACACCGGUGGCGAAGGCGGCCUGCUGGACUGCAACUGACGUUGAGGCCCGAAAGCGUGGGGAGCAAACAGGAUUAGAUACCCUAGUAGUC
rnacentral:rRNA from 1 species